GGGAGGGAAAGAUGCAAAGAACUUUGAAAAGAGAGUUAAAGAGUACCUGAAAUUGCUGAAAGGGAAGCAAAGGAAACCAGUGCGUUGUGCGUGUCAUAUU
rnacentral:rRNA from 1 species